CAGUGCCAUUUUGUGGGAACUUAGAUCCAAUAUAUCCCUGUUCACUGGUCCCACAAUGCUUAGAAUGAUGCACUGCCCUGAGGAGUUUGACAGGCGUGGCAGUGGAGAGGCGGGAGGGAGGACGAGAAGAGAGGAUUAACAAGUGUCUGUGAGGUGGCAUUUACAUUUAGAAUUUCCUGUCCUUUCAAAGGAAUCUCCAGGGUAGCCAAAGAGUCCAGCUUAAAGGUAGCUAGCCAGAAAAAGUGCCCAAACCACGCAGUGAGAUCACACCAUUGAAGACCCCUCCUUGGCAUAGACUCUACGGCUUUCACAAAUGUGCUGAGCUCCAGAACCUCAGGCUCUGACACCACCCCCAAAGCUGCAGGUCUCCAGGGCUGCUUGGGCCAAAAGGACAUUGACACUGGAUUUAGAGCCCACCAGAUAAUUUGGGAUGAUCUUCUUCAUAUCAAGAUCCUUCACAUCUGCAAAGAUCCUUUUUCCAAACAAGGCUCCAAAUCACCAAACUUCUUUGCCUCUCUGGGAAAACUAAAUGACCCACCAU
rnacentral:lncRNA from 1 species